rnacentral:rRNA from 1 species
CCUAUUGCUAUCGGGAUGAGACUAAGCCAUGCCAGUUGUGCGCUUCCUAGCUAUGUUGGAAGAGCAGCAAACGGCUCCGUAACACGUAGUUAAUCUGCCCUUAGGACAGACAUAACCUUGGGAAACUGAGGCUAAUAUCUGAUAGGUGGAAACGCCUGGAAUGGUCUUCCGCUUAAAGGUUUUUGGACACACGCGUCCAAGAAUGCCUAAGGAUGGGACUGCGGCCGAUCAGGCUGUUGGUGGGGUAACGGCUCACCAAACCUAUAACCGGUACGGGCCCUGAGAGGGGGAGCCCGGAGAUGGGAACUGAGACAAGGUCCCAGGCCCUACGGGGCGCAGCAGGCGCGAAAUCUCCACAAUGCGCGAAAGCGUGAUGGGGUUAUCCCGAGUGCCGUCCGUUGAGGAGGGCUUUUCCCCAGUGUAAGGAGCUGGGGGAAUAAAGGGGGGGCAAGACUGGUGUCAGCCGCCGCGGUAAUACCAGCCCCCUGAGUUAUAGGGACGAUUAUUUAGCCUAAAGCGUUCGUAGCCGGCUUAGCAAGUCUUUCGUUAAAUCUAACGACUUAAUCGUUAGGCCGCGGAAGAUACUGCUAGGCUUGAGGGCGGGAGAGGUCGACGGUAGUCCCGGGGUAGGGGUGAAAUCCAAUAAUCCCGGGAGGACCACCAGUGGCGAAGGCGGUCGACCAGAACGCGCCUGACGGUGAUGGACGAAAGCUGGGGUAGCGAACCGGAUUAGACACCCGGGUAGUCCCAGCUGUAAACGAUGCGAGCUAGGUGUUGGGUCAGCCACGAGCUGCUCCAGUGCCGCAGAGAAGUUGUUAAGCUCGCCGCUUGGGGAGUACGGCCGCAAGGUUGAAACUUAAAGGAAUUGGCGGGGGAGCACCACAAGGGGUGAAGCCUGCGGUUUAAUUGGAUUCAACGCCGGA